rnacentral:lncRNA from 1 species
GACGAUUGAAGUGUUUUGGUUUGGUUUGGUUGGAAGACUGUACUAGCUUGCCAGAGGGAAUUCAGAGGAAACUAGAAUACUUUCCCAAAGAGAAGGAUUGCCAUCCCUGGGCUUCUGCACUGCAACUCAGAGAGUCCUGGGCCCACUCCUUGUGCCUUUCCUGCUUUGGGGACACUGGCAGAAUAAAGGUGGUGAGUAAAGAACAAAUGUGUUCUUGCUGUUUAAGAAAGCUUCCUGAAUAUGCAAGAUUUUCUUUCUGGUCUCUCUAUCAGACAGUUGGAUGAUGGCAGCACCCAACUUCAUCUGGAAGUGCUCAAACCCUGCAGCAAUGAGACUAAUAUUAAAAGCCCUGAUAGUAUCAGGCACCACACUCCAUUAUAUCACGACUGCGUUUCCAUCUUCAGGCCCAGUCUUCUUAAAAAGAGCUUGUGGAGAGCAGUGGCUCAUGACAGCUGGAAAACCUACGUGCCACAGAGAGCCAAAGAUAUCUGACUGUGCAUAAUGGUGCUACCCAUAACCUUGGCAUAGGUUUUGAUGAUGAAGUGCAAGGUAAGCCCACCCAAAGUGAUUCAUAUGAACUGUUGGUCUGGAGAUCUCAAACCACAGAUCUCCCUCUUCUGGUUGGAGAAGAUUUUCUAGACAUACAUGCUUGAUGAAAUGUGAUGGCACCAGUUGCCUGUAAUAGUAUUAUUUGGAAAUACCUUCUCUCUGUUCCAAAUCUGUUUCCGAUCUGCAGAUACACUGCAGGUGUAUGUAGCUUGAAACAUGAAUAGAAGUGGCUGACAAAAUACUAACUUUACAGACCUGGACUUAGGGUACUUCUAAAUCCAUUUGUUUAGGUUUGUACAGGAAAUGAGUAGCACAGUGAGGGACAGGCCCCAGACCACUUAAGAUCCAAGUAUUGUGCUCAACCAGAAAUCAGCCUUAUCUCCCUAGUAUCUUUGUGGUAGCAGUUUCUUCAUUAAAUGUUUUUAGUUGCAUUAUCAUAUUCUCCUUGGAGCUUUCAAACUAUCCCAGUGAAAAAGGCUGACCACAGUUGUAAUGAAAUGAUUAUUCAGAGAAUUUGUUUUCUCUUUUGCUUUUUUUCCCUUCCAUUUGCUAUCAUGAAUGCCCUCAGAGAAGUAAUUUCCAUUACAUCAGGAGGUGGACAUCUUAUAUACUUCAGUAUGACUUUUUAAGGAUAGCCACACUGCAGGAGACUGGCUUCACACUCAUUAGACAGAAGCAAAGGCUGUCAGCUUGACACAGACUGUAAACUUGACACAAAAAUUCUUGUGAAAGUGUAUGAUUUGUUCUUUAUGCUGCAGGAAAUCUUUACAGAAGGAUAUUCAAUCUCAAUUUGGUUUCUAUGAAAUCCUGUUCUUGGCCCAUGUGUAAACAUACUACACUUUAGUGCCGAGAGGUGAUCCAGCUGCAAAGACUCCUUAAGCUAUUGUCCAGCCAUUCACACCUCUGGAAUUUCAUAAUAAAUUGAAUCAACUGAAUGUGUGGGGGGUUAGA